AUGCCGCGUGUAGGAAGACGGCCCUAUGGGUUGUAAACUACUUUUGUACGGGAAGAAAUAUAUCUACGUGUAGAUAUUUGACGGUACCGUAAGAAUAAGCACCGGCUAACUCCGUGCCAGCAGCCGCGGUAAUACGGAGGGUGCAAGCGUUAUCCGGAAUCAUUGGGUUUAAAGGGUCCGUAGGCGGGCUAAUAAGUCAGUGGUGAAAUGCAGGGGCUUAACUCCGGCACUGCCAUUGAUACUGUUAGUCUUGAAUUAUUGUGAAGUGGUUAGAAUAUGUAGUGUAGCGGUGAAAUGCUUAGAUAUUACAUAGAAUACCAAUUGCGAAGGCAGAUCACUAACAAUAUAUUGACGCUGAUGGACGAAAGCGUGGGUAGCGAACAGGAUUAGAUACCCUGGUAGUCCACUGCUGCCUCCCGUAG
rnacentral:rRNA from 1 species